rnacentral:rRNA from 1 species
AGCCUAAGGCUAGUAAUCUUAGGUUAAACCUGCCCAAUGUUAUAUUGAAUUAACGGCCGCGGUAAUUUGACCGUGCUAAGGUAGCGAAAUCAAUUGGCUUUUAAUUGGAGUCAGGAAUGAAUGGAAUAACGUGGUUUGACUGUCUCCUUAUUAAUUAAUUGAAAUUACUAUGAAGAUGAAAAAGUCUUUAAGUAGAAAAAAGACGAGAAGACCCUUAGAGUUUCUCUUAAAGUAAAAUUAAUAUGUUUAUAAAAGUUUAGUUGGGGCAACUCUAGAAAACUAUUCGUAACUUCUAAAAUCUGUACUAGCCGAUUAUUUUAAGAUUGUGUAAACUACCUUAGGGAUAACAGCAUUAUGUAAAAUUUAAGUUUGUGACCUCGAUGUUGGACUGGGAAACUAAAAGGCUAGCCGUUUUUUAGGUAAGUUCUGUUCGAACGUAGAAUUCC